UUGCUUCUUCUUCUUCUUCAUCAUCGAUCUAGGAUGGGUUCCAGGCCGGCAGCCUGGGAUAGCAAGGAGGGACGUCGUUCUCUUUUCUCGUUUGUUUUCGUCUGUAGUCGGACCCUGCUCUUCUUCGUGAUAUUUAUGUAUUGUACUGUUGUGACUCUGAUGUAGCUUGUGGCGAGUGUAAGCCAAUUUUAUGUAUCUCAUCUUUUCAUUACAUG
rnacentral:lncRNA from 1 species